rnacentral:rRNA from 1 species
AUUGAACGCUGGCGGCAGGCCUAACACAUGCAAGUCGAGCGAGCGGCGGACGGGUGAGUAAUGUCUGGGAAACUGCCUGAUGGAGGGGGAUAACUACUGGAAACGGUAGCUAUUACAGCAUACCAUCAGAUGUGCCCAGAUGGGAUUAGCUAGUAGGUGGGGUAACGGCUCACCUAGGCGACGAUCUCUAGCUGGUCUGAGAGGAUGACCAGACACACUGGAACUGAGACACGGUCCAGACUCCUACGGGAGACAGCAGUGGAGAAUAUUGCACAAUGGGGGCAAGCCUGAUGCAGCCAUGCCGCGUGGGUGAUGACGGCCUUCGGGUUGUAAACUCCUUUCACCAUCGACGCGGUAGAUGGAGAAGAAGCACCGGCUAACUACGUGCCAGCAGCCGCGGUAAUAC